AGCGUCACAGACUCUCACACAGACGUCACUCUGUCUGUGACGCUGGGUUUAAGAAACAAGAGCUCAGUUAAAAACAUGUUUAUCGCCAUCUUCUGUUAGUACGGAGCAUGUGGUUGGCUAACAGACUCAUAUUAGUUUAUGUUAGCUAACUAGUGACAGAACCAAUAGCUCAGAGGAAACUAAACAUCAGAGUACGAGGAUCACUGUAGUGCUGCAGCAGUGAGGCGUUAAACCAGGAUAUACUGUACACUUUACCUUCUGUGGCAGGAAGUGUCUGUUCGCUGUUUGGCUAGCUACAUGGUUAUGGUUGGGUGUUAGCCUAAUUAGUUGUGAUGUUUGCGUUUGUAAAGCACUUUAUGAGGACUGUGGAGCAGAGCGCGGAUUUAUCACUAAUCAGUAAAAUCGUUUCUAAAUCAAGUACUGAUUAAUCAGUGCAGUACGAUCAGUCAGCAUUUCACACUCUAACCAGCAGGGGCACUGCAGCAACACCUGAAGCGGGCCAAUGAGAGGCGCAGCCGGAAGUUAAAAGGCAGAUGGUUUAUGUGAUUUUUACUGAUUAUUUGUGAUUUGGAUGAUUUUCAGGUAAAGGAACGGAGUUUUGGUGGAGUGUGUUUUUUUCCCCCCAUCUCACUUGAUUGCUUCGCCAAACUCUAUUCAGAAAAGAUCAGAUUUCAGUUAAACGUGAUCAACUGAGCUCUGUGAUCUAAGAUAGCUUUUAUAGUUUUGGAUGAAGCAGCAGGAUUCCUACUUUAAUUCAGCUCACUCUGAAACCGACAUGGAGAAAGGUUUCUUAGUACAAAGCGCUGAUGAAGAUGUGAUGAUGCUAAUGUUUUGAUCCACUUUGAACGAGCAGAAUUUGACGUUUCUAUGAGCAGGUUUGGCAGGUCAGAGUUCAGCUGCAGGUGAAUGAUGGUGGAGAAGGUGACAUACUCCAAAGAGCUGCUGCAGCGAUGAGGUGGGGGGGGGAGCUGAGCUUCGAGGAGCUGCAAGCUGAAAACUACAAUCAGGAGCAGUUGGAAGUGGAGGAGAAACUGAAACCUUUGAGCGAGGAGGAGGAGCUAUUUGUUGGAGUUGCUACCUCUGAUUUUGGAGUAACCCAUGGGUGCAGGAACUCAUGGCCUCAAAUGCCAGUUUCCUGCAGGUUUUAGAUAUCAAGCUGGGUCAACACACCUGAAUCCUGAAUGAACCUGAAUGAUUAGUUAAUUACCAGGCCUCUGGAGAAUUUCAAGACAUGUUGAGGAAGUAAUUUAUCCAUUUAAAUCAGCUGUGUUGGAUCAAGGGCACAUCUUAAACCUGCAUGACACUGGUGCUCGAGGCUUGGAGUUGCCUACCCCCGGAGUAACCUUUGGAUGUAUUCGAGUACAUUAGAGUUCUCAGAGUAACUGUGGCUCUCCCUGCAGCUGCUUCCUGUCUCCUCAUGUGGACCUCUCACCGGUGCUUCCUUCCAGAUAUACGACGAAUUCCAGUCAUAUGCUGCAAGGCCUGCUGGAUAAUAAACAUACACCCUGCUCUCUGCUGCCACCUACUGUGUGCACCAGAAACACUUUUUGUUCUGCACGUGUGUGAAAAGAUGCUUACCGUAGUUUGAAAGGAUUAAGUUCCUGUUUCCUGCUAUCCAUAUGUCAGAGGAAGAGGACUGCUUACAUCUUACAGUUACAGUCAAUUCCUUCUUUUGAAGAGUGCUCCCUCUCAUCUGUUUUGAUUUUUAUUAAAGCUUCAAACAAUAAAUAUUACAUCAAAUUCA